UAUUAAUAUUAUCAGAUUAUUACAUGGCAUUUUUCAUAUCGCAUGUAUUAUCAGCUCUAUAGGUUUAAUAUCAGCCCAAGAGCCGCAUGGCUCGAGGGCUGAUGUUGACCGAGGGCUGAUAAUACAUGCGAUAUGAAAAAUGACAUGUUAUGAUCUUUUUAUCAUAUGCUUCAACAAUGGAGAAAAAUAACAGAUUCAUAUAUUGAUCCUUUUACGUGGUUCCCAAAAAGAAGUUCAAAGACUGAAAGUUCACGGACGUUAGACCCCAAAUUUAGUACAUUCGAUAUGAAAUUUUUC
rnacentral:lncRNA from 1 species